UACGUAGGGGGCAAGCGUUGUCCGGAUUUAUUGGGCGUAAAGAGCGUGUAGGCGGCUAGGUAGGUCCGUUGUGAAAACUCGAGGCUCAACCUCGAGACGCCGGUGGAAACCAUCUAGCUAGAGUCCGGAAGAGGAGAGUGGAAUUCCUGGUGUAGCGGUGGAAAUGCGCAGAUAUCAGGAAGAACACCCGUGGCGAAGGCGGCUCUCUGGGACGUGACUGACGCUGAGACGCGAAAGCGUGGGGAGCGAACAGG
rnacentral:rRNA from 1 species